rnacentral:piRNA from 2 species
UGGUCUCAAACUCCUGGGCUCAAGUGAUC